AGGAACACUGUUCGUUGCGUACCUCCAGUAUCCCAUCAGCCUCAAUACAAACAUCAUUAGCCUCGACGUGUUGUGUCUGAUCUGAGACGAAAAGGGGAAUUAUGUCGGAAAAGAAGCAAACCGUGGAUCUGGGAUUGUUAGAAGAGGACGAUGAGUUUGAGGAAUUUCCAGCAGAAGAUUGGACAGGGUUGGAUGAAGAUGAAGAUGCACAUGUCUGGGAAGAUAACUGGGAUGAUGACAAUGUAGAGGAUGAUUUUUCAAAUCAGCUAAGAGCGGAACUAGAAAAACAUGGAUACAAGAUGGAGACGGCAUAGCUUUCAGUAGACCUUUGGGAAUUAAGUUAUGAAUGUGCACUGGAGAUUUUGUGUUGAUGUGAAUUGUAUCCUGUUACAGAAGAGCUGACGAUUACUGUAGAUAAAGCAACAUCCCUUUUUACAACUCUUAUUAUACUUAAUUAUUUUCUGUAUAAAAAAAAGCUUAAGUGAAAGAUUGCUUUUCUUUUCCCCUAGAAUUGCAAAAUUGAAACAUUUAUGUACGUACCUAAUAUUAAACAGCCUAUCUCUGUCUUAAAUUUGGUUGUUUUAAUGUAGCCUGGUGUGUCCAUAUGAUUACUAGUUUGUAAUUUAAAGUAGUAGCUAGCUAUAUAUAUAUAUAUAUAUAUAUAUAUAUAUAUAUAUAUAUAUAUAUAUAUAUAUAUAUAUAUAUAUAUAUAUGACACACACACACACACACACAUAUUUUUUUUUUGGUGCUUUACAGGGUAAAAGUAAGCUCUGUUUGCUUGCCUUCCAGGAAAACUGUUACUGCUUCACUUCCUUGGUCAUUUCACCUUAGCAUUUUCUUACAGUGAAUGGAUGUGCAUGCUGUCGAGUACGUAUGGAAUUAUUUUGUUAGCUACAAUUACUUUUUGUUUUCACUUAAACAUUUACAAGAUGAACAAACAACAACUUAGGAACACUUUUGAUUCUUAAAUUAACCCUCCAGGUUAUUUGCUAGUUCUGUAAUGUUGACUUUAAUUAGUUUUAUUGUUGCAAAAAAUUGUUUGUUCGUGUAAGGACCUUCAUAAGUCUGCUGUCUUUGUUACUUUCCACUGUUCAUCAGGUGAAUGUGUUUCAGCACUGUAUAAUAGGAAGGGUUACACUUUUGGCUUAUGUCAGCCCUUUUUCGUUUCUGUGUAAACUUGGUUUUCGUUAAAUAUUAGUUUUCUUCAAACUGAGUUAAUCCAAAAUGUAUACAUUUUACCUGUAUUUCCCCCAAUGGAGAUGUUGGGAAGGUAACAUGUGCCCCACAUUCUCUAAUUGGAAAAAGCACAAGACAACAAUGGAAGAUCUGGGAACCUAUGAAAUUCAAGUCAUCCUAUUUCUACACAAAGUUCUGAUACACUCAGUAACAAUGGAAGAUCUGGGAACCUAUGAAAUUCAAGUCAUCCUAUUUCUACACAAAGUUCUGAUACACUCAGUAACAAUUAAUGGAUGUUGUACCCCACGUUGUGAAUAUAAAUCUUAUGCAAAACUCAUUGUUCCAAGGCGUUCACAUUUUCAAUAAACUGUAUUGGGUUUAUUCACCA